CCGUAGAAGGUGAAGUACAAGAGGGUGCAGUACAUGAAGAAGAAGUACCAUAAGAAUUUGACAGCAGUCCAUUCAAACCCGAUCAUUGCAUACACGAUGACACCAUAGAAAGCUGAUUGUACAAAUACAUAAGGCGUAAGGUAUGGCAGAAUACAUUCCAGCAGCUUUUUCUCUGUAAAAUACAGUACGUUCAACGGCUACAACAGGCUGGACAGAUGAUGAAUUUUGUACACCAAGGAAGAGAGUUGCAGCAUACAUAGAUCCCAUAGCGUUGAUAAGAUCCUGACUCCGACUCCUGUGAUCAACAAAGCUCGAAUAGUUUAGCUUAAAUACUAUAAGAUGUUUAUCUUUAAAGUUAAUAUUUACUUGUUAUUGUGAUUUGUACUUACACUUUGGUACCAAGAUCCCAAAACAUUGUGCCAAAGACAAGUGCUAUGAAUGUUGUGAAAAUGAA